rnacentral:rRNA from 1 species
UACGGAGGGGGCUAGCGUUGUUCGGAAUAACUGGGCGUAAAGCGCAUGUAGGCGGAUCUUUAAGUCAGAGGUGAAAUCCCAGGGCUCAACCCCGGCAUUGCCUUUGAUACUGGAGAUCUGGAGUCUGGGAUAGUUGAGUGGAAUUCCGAGUGUAGAGGUGAAAUUCGUAGAUAUUCGGAGGAACACCAGUGGCGAAGGCGGCUCACUGGCCCGAGACUGACGCUGAGAUGCGAAAGCGUUGGGAGCAAACAGG